rnacentral:lncRNA from 1 species
UUUUGCAGAAAUUGACAGAUCCUAAAAUUAAUAUGGUAAUGCAAAACAACUAAAAUAACUAGAACAAUUUUUGAAAAGGAAAAGAAAAGUUAGUGAGUUUGGAGUUUUCAACAGAUUGGGAGAAAAUAUUUGCAAAAAUGCAUAUCUGAUCAAGGACUUGCCUCCAGAAUUUACAAAGAACUCUUAAAAAUCAAGAAGAAAGACAACCCAACCAAAACAUGGGCCACAGAUUUGAAUAGACCUUUCAUUAAACAUAUGAAUAGCUACCAAGCACAUGAAAACAUGCUCAACAUCAUCAGCUGUCGAUGAAGUGCAGAUUCAAACCACACGAUGCCAUUUCACACCUGCUGGAAUGACUGUCAUAAAUAAGACAGGUGAUAACAAGUUUUGGCGAGGAUGUGGAGACCGGGAAGCUGCCGACAUUGCUGGUUGAAAUGUGAAAUGGGCAACCACUUUGAAAGUUUGGCAGUUUCUCAAAAUUUUAAACCUCAAACUACCACAUGACUCAGCAAUUCCAUUCCUAAGAGAAAUGAAGUCAUGUCCACAAAAAGCCUUGUAUGUGAAUGUCCAAGCCUCAUGAUGCAUAAAGCCCAAACUGGGAACACCUUCACCAGCCAUCCCUUUUUGAAUGGAUAGCAAACAUAAAGACUAUCCAUAUGGUAGAAUUCUAUUUGGCAACAACAAAAGAACAAACUACAGACACAUGCUACAAUUGUAGACGGACCUCAAAAACAGCUUGCUAAGUGAAAGAAGCUACACACAGGAGAAGACCGAUUGCAUGAUUUAAAUGAAACAUCCAGGAAAAGCCAAUUGAGGGAGACGGGAAGUUUAUGGGUGAUUGCCUGGGGCUGUAGGUGGGAAUGGGGAUUAAUUAUAAUCUUACUGCAGCGAUGAAAAAUGUUCUAAAACAUUUAAAACUGAUUUAUGGUUAUAAUUGUACUCCUUGGUAAAAUUACUCAAAAUUAUUGAAUUGUGCAUCUGAAACUGCAGAAUUUGUUUCCUUAUUUUUUUUUAUUGUGGUAAAAUAUAUGUAGUACAAACCUUCCCACUUUAACCAUGUUUAACUGCAGCUUCAUGGUGUUUAGUCACAUGGUUGUCGGGUUAUCACCACCAUCCCUCUCCAACGGUUUCCUCUUCCUCAACUGAUACUCCAUGCCCAUAAACACUGGCUCUUCAUUUUCUCUGUCCUAACCCCUGGCAGCCAUCAAUCUGCUUCCUGACUAAAUGAAUUUGAGAUUCUAGGUAUGUCACAUAAAUGGGACCAUACAACAUUUGCCCUUUUGUGAGUGGCUCAUUUCAUAAUAUCUUUAAGGAUCACCCAUAUUGGAGAUUUGUCAAAAUUCCCUUCCUUUUUAAGGCUGAAUAAUAUUCCAUUGUAUGUAUAUACCCUAUUUUGUAUAUUCCUCCAUCUAGUGAUGGGCAUUGGGGUUGUUUCUACCUUUUUCUAUUGUUAAUAGUGCCGUUGUGAAUAUUGAUAUAUAAAUAUCUUGAAAUUGGUUAAUUUUAUGAUAUGUAAGAUGUACCUCCAUAUAAGCACUUUAAAUAAAAC